UACGUAGGGGCUAGCGUUGUCCGGAUUUAUUGGGCGUAAAGAGCGUGUAGGCGGCCAGGUAGGUCUGCUGUGAAAACUCGAGGCUCAACCUCGAGACGUCGGCGGAAACCAUCUGGCUAGAGUCCGGAAGAGGAGAGUGGAAUUCCGUGGUGUAGCGGUGAAAUGCGCAGAUAUCAGGAAGAACACCCGUGGCGAAGGCGGCUCUCUGGGACGGUACUGACGCUGAGACGCGAAAGCGUGGGGAGCGAACAGG
rnacentral:rRNA from 1 species